CAAGACCUGCGCUUUUGGAGCGGCCGAUGCCUGAUUAGCUUGUUGGUAAGGUAAAAGCUUACCAAGGCUUCGAUCAGUAGCUGGUCUGAGAGGACGACCAGCCACACUGGGACUGAGACACGGCCCAGACUCCUACGGGAGGCAGCAGUGGGGAAUUUUGGACAAUGGGGGCAACCCUGAUCCAGCCAUGCCGCGUGAGUGAAGAAGGCCUUCGGGUUGUAAAGCUCUUUCAGCCGGAACGAAACGGUUACGGUUAAUACCCAUGACUACUGACGGUACCGGAAGAAGAAGCACCGGCUAACUACGUGCCAGCAGCCGCGGUAAUACGUAGGGUGCGAGCGUUAAUCGGAAUUACUGGGCGUAAAGCGUGCGCAGGUGGUUUUGUAAGUCAGAUGUGAAAGCCCCGGGCUCAACCUGGGAACU
rnacentral:rRNA from 1 species